GUUGCUUGCACCCUUUAGAAGGUUGAGAUUUGUGUGACAAUUUGAGAAGGGAAUGGUGUGAGAAAUGUGUCACACCUCAGCCCUUCUGAUGCCCCAAUUGAAGUGGUUUUGGUUUGAAUUCAAAAUGAUUUGAAUUUGAACUAAUUCAAACUACCUCAUCUUUAUCCUAUCCCAUCUCCACACCACCUUAAAUUCUUUCUCAUUUUGUGUGACAAAAGUUGUUG
rnacentral:lncRNA from 1 species